CCUACGGGAGGCAGCAGUAGGGAAUCUUCCACAAUGGACGAAAGUCUGAUGGAGCAACGCCGCGUGAGUGAUGAAGGUUUUCGGAUCGUAAAACUCUGUUGUAAGGGAAGAACACGUACGAGAGGAAAUGCUCGUACCUGAC
rnacentral:rRNA from 1 species